CCUACGGGGGGCAGCAGUGAGGAAUAUUGGUCAAUGGGCGCAAGCCUGACCCAGCAACGCCGCGUGAAGGAAGAAGGCUUUCGGGUUGGAAACUUCUUUUCUCAGGGACGAAGAAAGUGACGGUACCUGAGGAAUAAGCCACGGCUAACUACGUGCCAGCAGCCGCGGUAAUACGUAGGUGGCAAGCGUUAUCCGGAUUUACUGGGUGUAAAGGGCGUGUAGGCGGGACUGCAAGUCAGAUGUGAAAACCACGGGCUCAACCUGUGGCCUGCAUUUGAAACUGUAGUUCUUGAGUACUGGGGAGGCAGACGGAAUUCCUGGUGUAGCGGUGAAAUGCGUAGAUAUCAGGAAGAACGCCAGGGGCGAAGGCGGUCUGCUGAACAGCAACUGACGCUGAGGCGCGAAAGCGUGGGGAGCAAACAGGAUUAGAUACCCCGGUAGUC
rnacentral:rRNA from 1 species